UACAGAGGGUGCGAGCGGUGUCCGGAAUCACUGGGCGUAAAGGGCGCGUAGGCGGCUGGGUAAGUCGAUGGUGAAAUCCCGUGGCUCAACUGCGGGGCUGCCGUCGAGACUGCCUGGCUCGAGCGCGGUAGAGGCUGGUGGAAUUCCCGGUGUAGCGGUGGAAUGCGUAGAGAUCGGGAGGAACAUCGGUGGCGAAGGCGGCCAGCUGGGCCGUUGCUGACGCUGAGGCGCGAAAGCGUGGGGAGCAAACAGG
rnacentral:rRNA from 1 species